rnacentral:rRNA from 1 species
UCUACGGGAGGCAGCAGUGGGGAAUAUUGCACAAUGGGCGCAAGCCUGAUGCAGCCAUGCCGCGUGUGUGAAGAAGGCCUUCGGGUUGUAAAGCACUUUCAGCGGGGAGGAAGGCGUUAAGGUUAAUAACCUUGGCGAUUGACGUUACCCGCAGAAGAAGCACCGGCUAACUCCGUGCCAGCAGCCGCGGUAAUACGGAGGGUGCAAGCGUUAAUCGGAAUUACUGGGCGUAAAGCGCACGCAGGCGGUCUGUCAAGUCGGAUGUGAAAUCCCCGGGCUCAACCUGGGAACUGCAUUCGAAACUGGCAGGCUAGAGUCUUGUAGAGGGGGGUAGAAUUCCAGGUGUAGCGGUGAAAUGCGUAGAGAUCUGGAGGAAUACCGGUGGCGAAGGCGGCCCCCUGGACAAAGACUGACGCUCAGGUGCGAAAGCGUGGGGGGCAAACAGGAUUAGAUACCCGGGUAGUC